CUGAAGAUAGCUUAAUUUACUUUGAAAGUGGGGGAUUCUUGAUCCUUUGAUGUUAUUUUUUAACUCUUUAGG
rnacentral:tRNA from 1 species